UACGAAGGGGGCUAGCGUUGUUCGGAAUUACUGGGCGUAAAGGGCGCGUAGGCGGCGUGUCAAGUCAGGCGUGAAAGCCCCGGGCUUAACCUGGGAAUUGCGCUUGAGACUGGCAUGCUUGAGUUCGGGAGAGGUGAGUGGAAUUCCCAGUGUAGAGGUGAAAUUCGUAGAUAUUGGGAAGAACACCGGUGGCGAAGGCGGCUCACUGGACCGACACUGACGCUGAGGCGCGAAAGCGUGGGGAGCAAACAGG
rnacentral:rRNA from 1 species